UAAUUUCGCUUUACUCGGACCCACCUUUACAUUACUGAUAGUACUACCUGUCAAGAUAACGUAAAUUUUGUGUGAUGAAAAUAUAUUGUUUAUUCUCUCUUAUCACUGUUGGUUCACCGUUCGAAUAAUGCAUUGAAAGUAAAUAGAAAGGUUUGUUUUUACGCUCGUUCCGAAAUGAAAACGGGAUUCCUCUCCCUAUUCCUGUGCCUGUCGUGUUUGUGUAUUUUGUAUAACGUGAAACAAGUGAAAUGCGAAUGGGUGACGUUCGGGGAAUAUUUCAGCCGAUUUUUAAUUCAAAAACCGGAACUGGCCGAAAUUAUUGGCGCCGAGUGUAGUAAUAGAAAGAAGAAAAAGGACGAGGCUGGUAUUUGCAGAACUGUUUACUAGUAAUGGCAAAAGCCUAGUGAAAUUUUCCGUAUCAGUACCCACUGGUGCCCAAGAGUAAUUAAAAAUUGCAUUCUUCAUCUUGCAGAGUAUCUCAUCUCAUCUUGUAUAACAGAAUGGAAACAGCGAUUCACACUUGCCGCUUAAUUUGGUUUUAUGGCACUUGAAUUUGGGGUGUUGUCAUCUUUUACCCAAAUCAUUUUCUUCUAGUAAGCAUCACUUCUCCGGCAUGAGGGUAUGGUAAGGGGAGGUGUUACUAUGUGAUUAGCAGUCGCAAUAGGCUUCUACAUUUGUGGAUUACGUUCCCAUUAUUGUAGAAAGACAGCUACCGUUUCAAAAAAAAGUAUAAAAAUGUGAAAAUAUGGUUGAAGUUCAAAGAGUCAAAAUGCUUCUCUAUGAUAACAACCAGUGUUUAUUAAAAAAAAGUAGCCUUAUGGAGUUGUUGGUCGUUACCUGUUCCUAGUAAUACUGAAAAGCAAUUGAAUUUAUCAGGAGAGACAAACCACUGUGGAAUUCUGGUGUUCAACAUCUUGGAAUUCAUGGAAUUCUUAUGGAAUUAGUGGAAUUAUUUUGGGAUUUAUGAAAUUUUUAUAGAAUUCAUGAAACUACUUUGGAAUUCUACGUCUUUUUACGAGCUGUAGUUCAGUUUUCGACUUACUUUAUAUUAAUGUUUCUAUAAAAUUACCUGGGAUACAUUCAGUAUUACUUCUUAUCGCUUGGUAUGACUUGCACGGUACUAAAUUCAUCUCAUCCACCACGAGAUGCUAUGCGGCCUGGUGAUAUUUUUAAAGCGCAUUUGACCGGAAAUGUAUUAAAAUCGUCGAUGUUGUUAAAUGAACCAAUAUACACAUUUAAAGCAGGAUUUUGUGCCUUUUUUAUCGUUGCAAGGAAAGUAUAAGAAAUCUUCAGCAGUUUUAAAGGUAGCGAAAUCAAAUGAUGCCAUAAAUACGUAAAUACUUGUGAUGAUGAUUUUUAUUAUUGAAAAAAAAGUCAGCUUCAAAAGUUUGUAAGGUUAGGCGGCGCAGUUACCGAAACCGAAAAUGUGUUCGUGUGUUGCGUCAAACAUUGCUAUUAAUUACUAAACAGAUUCAAUUGAAUUUAUUUUAAAGAACUAAGUCCUUUCGGGUUGUAAGCCGUAGAUUUGGGGCAUAAGAUA